rnacentral:rRNA from 1 species
AGAGUUUGAUCCUGGCUCAGGAUGAACGCUAGCGACAGGCUUAACACAUGCAAGUCGAGGGGCAGCGGGGGCGUAGCAAUAUGCCUGCCGGCGACCGGCGCACGGGUGAGUAACACGUAUGUAACCUGCCCUAUGCAGGGGGAUAACCCGGAGAAAUCCGGCCUAAUACCGCGUAACACCUUAGGGGAGCAUUCUCUUGAGGUUAAAGGAGAGAUCCGGCAUAGGAUGGACAUGCGUCGCAUUAGGUAGACGGCGGGGUAACGGCCCACCGUGCCGACGAUGCGUAGGGGUUCUGAGAGGAAGGCCCCCCACACUGGUACUGAGACACGGACCAGACUCCUACGGGAGGCAGCAGUGAGGAAUAUUGGUCAAUGGCCGAGAGGCUGAACCAGCCAAGUCGCGUGAGGGAAGAAUGUCCUAAGGAUUGUAAACCUCUUUUGUCGGGGAGCAAAAAGGCUCUGCGGAGUCGUAUUGAGAGUACCCGAAGAAAAAGCAUCGGCUAACUCCGUGCCAGCAGCCGCGGUAAUACGGAGGAUGCGAGCGUUAUCCGGAUUUAUUGGGUUUAAAGGGUGCGCAGGCGGCGUGUCAAGCAAGCGGUAAAAUAGCGGGGCUCAACCCCGUCGAGCCGUUUGAACUGGCGCGCUUGAGUUCAGGCGAGGUAGGCGGAAUUCGUGGUGUAGCGGUGAAAUGCAUAGAUAUCACGAAGAACUCCGAUUGCGAAGGCAGCUUACCAGUCUGCGACUGACGCUCAGGCACGAAAGUGUGGGUAUCGAACAGGAUUAGAUACCCUGGUAGUCCACACAGUAAACGAUGAGCGCUAGGUGUCCGGGUCGCAUGAGACUUGGGUGCCCGAGCGAAAGCGUUAAGCGCUCCACCUGGGGAGUACGCCGGCAACGGUGAAACUCAAAGGAAUUGACGGGGGCCCGCACAAGCGGAGGAACAUGUGGUUUAAUUCGAUGAUACGCGAGGAACCUUACCCGGGCUCAAACGACUCAGGAAUAUAUUGGAAACGAUGUAGCCAGCAAUGGUCUGAGUCGAGGUGCUGCAUGGUUGUCGUCAGCUCGUGCCGUGAGGUGUCGGCUUAAGUGCCAUAACGAGCGCAACCCCUACCGCCAGUUGCCAACGGGUAAAGCCGGGAACUCUGGCGGGACUGCCGGCGCAAGCUGCGAGGAAGGCGGGGAUGACGUCAAAUCAGCACGGCCCUUACGUCCGGGGCGACACACGUGUUACAAUGGCAGGUACAGCGGGAAGCCACCUGGUGACAGGGAGCGGAACCCGAAAGCCUGUCUCAGUUCGGAUUGGAGUCUGCAACUCGACUCCAUGAAGCUGGAUUCGCUAGUAAUCGCGCAUCAGCCAUGGCGCGGUGAAUACGUUCCCGGGCCUUGCACACACCGCCCGUCAAG